rnacentral:rRNA from 1 species
CUACAGGGGUAUCUAAUCCUGUUUGAUCCCCUUGCUUUCGCGCCUCAGCGUCAGGAAUAAUAUAGAAAACCGCUUUCGCCACAGGUGUUCUUCCACAUAUCUACGCAUUUCACCGCUACUUGUGGAAUUCCGUUUUCUCCUACUACCCUCUAGACUUCCAGUUUCGGAUGCAGUUCUAAGGUUGAGCCCUAGGAUUUCACAUCCGACUAAAAAGUCCGCCUACGCGCCCUAUACGCCCAAUAAUUCCGAUUAAUGCUUGCACCCUACGUAUUACCGCGGCUGCUGGCAC